UUGGAGGGCAAGUCUGGUGCCAGCAGCCGCGGUAAUUCCAGCUCCAAUAGCGUAUAUUAAAGUUGUUGCAGUUAAAAAGCUCGUAGUUGAAUUUCGGGAUUAGUACGCUGGUCGUGCCUUCGGUACGUACUGGUGUUACUGAUUUCUACCUUCUGACGAACCAUCAUGUCAUUAAUUUGGUGUGGUGGGGAAUCAGGACUGUUACUUUGAAAAAAUUAGAGUGUUUAAAGCAGGCUCGCGCUUGAAUACAUUAGCAUGGAAUAAUGAAAUAGGACGUUGAUCCUAUUUUGUUGGUUUUUAGGAUUGACGUAAUGAUUAAUAGGGAUAGUUGGGGGCAUUAGUAUUCAAUUGUCAGAGGUGAAAUUCUUGGAUUUAUUGAAGACUAACUACUGCGAAAGCAUUUGCCAAGGAUGUUUUCAUUAAUCAAGAACGAAAGUUAGGGGAUCGAAGACGAUCAGAUACCGUCGUAGUCUUAACCAUAAACUAUGCCGACUAGGGAUCGGAUGAUGUUAUUUUUAAUGACUCAUUCGGCGCCUUACGGAAAC
rnacentral:rRNA from 1 species